CCCAGAAGGCUGGGCUCCCCGCGUUUGAAACGGAGGAUGUGGGGGUCUGCGGUGCCUCGCGCCUAGGUUGAAUACCUGGAUCCCCAGGGAGGCGCCAACUGUAGCCCAGGAUGCCUCUCAGACGCGGCUGUGGCCAGCUGCGGCCGACCCGGCUGAAGGGGAAGCCUCCAGGCCCCCGAACAGCGCCUCGGGUACCGUUCCCACUCGCGCUCCCAAAGAGCUAUGACCUGAGACCAGCUUGGCUUCGUGCCCGGGCUCUGCAAGCCGGAGCUGCGGUGGGGCCUCUGCGCCCAGGCCGGAGGAGAAGGGACUCCAGGAGCUGCGUGGGCGUGGGGUUUUCCCCACCCGGGGAAAGGGAGCCGAGUGACUGUGGGUUUCGCGGAGCGCUCGCACGCUGUGGCACCUCAUCCCAGUCGUACUCUUUUUUGUCAGAUGCUCUUAGCUCCCUACUGUUUAGGGUAAGAUUUGUCCCCUACACAGACUACGUAAGUCUACAAGCAACCUCUGCACCCCAGUCAAGUGCAAUAGAAACAUUCCCUUACAUGCAGAAAGUCUACCCCAGACAGUGGGACUACGUACAGAGCAGAGAGCUACAUGUUGUUAUGUCUAUUACUGACACAUUGCACUGAGGGCUACAUCUUAUUAAAAAUGUUCCUUGAGUAUCUUUGCUACUCAGCCCAAGGGAUUCUACAGUAACUUUGGAGCUUCCCCUUCAUCAUGCCUGCCCUCGGAGGUAGGGUGAAACCCUUUGCCUCUGAGCUCCUUGGGGCACUGUUUUCCUUGAGCCCCUGCCAAAGCUGCAGUUGUAGGCAUCCCUGCCUUCCACUCCACUGCAGAGCAGGGAUCUGCAUUGCUGAGCAGCAGUGGGAGACAGCUCAUCACCCCCCUGGAGGCCUCCUGGGUUCACAGAAGAAAGAGCAGGCAGUGAAGUGGGGUUGGGGGAUCAGACCUGGGCCAAGUGAAGACGGGAGAGUGACUCCAGGGGGAGAAGACCAAGGGAAGGAGAGAUAUUUGGGGGAGGAGGCAGGGUAGUGGGAGCUGAGUAGGGAACUGCUGAUUAUUCAUUCAUUCGACAAAGUGUUUUAACCAUCUACAAUGUCUUAGGCACCGUUUUGGGGGCUGACAAAUCAAAGACCAUGCUUUAAUGAGGCAACAU